GAACUGUUUCAGUUAUACAAUCAAGACGCACUCGACAAAUCUAUCGUUAGUUGCUAUUGUUUGAUGAAGAUAUAUGAAAUGAGAAAAGGUGGACGCUUUGGCAUUGGGUUCAUUGACCCAAACACUGUUAAUGAAUACACAUGGAAGAUAAAUCAACAUUAUGCAAAGGAAGUAGAGGACAACAUGCUAGAGUUCUUGAAGCGCCUCAAAUAGAAUGAAGAUAUACUACUUCCUUACAACUUCCAAUUUCACUGGGUCUUGUGUAUCAUUAAAGUUGAUGCCGGAACAGUUGAUGUACUGGACUCACUAAUCUCAGAAAAAACUGACUAUAACAUCUUGUAUGGGAUAGUCAACAGGGCUUGGGCAAGAUUCAUCAGCGUCACGGAAGGUGAAUGGAAAUAAAAGCUUAAAUGGAUUCGACCCAAGG